GAUGAACGCUAGCUACAGGCUUAACACAUGCAAGUCGAGGGACCGGCGCACGGGUGAGUAACACGUACCCAACCUGCCCUUUACUCGGGGAUAGCCUUUCGAAAGAAAGAUUAAUACCCGAUAUAAAGGAUGGGGAUGCGUUCCAUUAGGUUGUUGGUGAGGUAACGGCCCACCAAGCCUUCGAUGGAUAGGGGUGCUGAGAGGAAGGUCCCCCACAUUGGAACUGAGGCCCGGUCCAAACUCCUGCGGGAGGCAGCAGUCAGGCAUAUUGGUCAAUGGGCGUUAGCCUGAACCAGCCAAGUAUCGUGAAGGAUGAAGGCUUAUAAGUCGUAAACUUCUUUGAUAUAAGAAGCUGUAUUAUAUGAAUAAGGAUCGGCGAACUCCGUGCCAGCAGCCGCGGUAAUAC
rnacentral:rRNA from 1 species